rnacentral:rRNA from 1 species
CAAAAACAUAACUGUAUGAAAUAUUAUGCAGCUUUUUCUGCUCCAUGAGAUGUUAAAUAGCCGCAGUACCCUGACUGUGCAAAGGUAGCAUAAUCAAUUGGCUUCUAAUUAAAGUCUGGUAUGAACGAACGCAUGGGUAAUGACUGUCUUAGGAAUGUUCUUGUGAAAUUAUUAAGUUGGUGCAAAUACCGACGAGCAUAAAAAAGACGAGAAGACCCUAGAAACUUUAAGAUGCUUUUGCUGGGGCGGCAGAAUUGCAUUUAACCAAUUAUUUUACGUGAGCAGCGCAGAAAGGGAAAGUUACUCUAGGGAUAACAGCAUAAUUUAAAUAGUUUGUGACCUCGAUGUUGGACUAGGGAACUUAUCCCUUAGAAGGGGGUAAUAAUGGCUCUGUUCGAGCUCCGAGCCCCUACGUGAUCUGA